rnacentral:lncRNA from 1 species
GGCUGUCUCCUAGGAAUCUCCUAGGGUUGUGUGUCCUCCCCCUACUGCUGGACCCCCCCUGAAAAAAUAUGCUGACGUGCAGCUGUUGUGGGCUGGUUCUUGCUUGCUGGAGCAUCACCUUCCCUUGCUCAUGGGUCCGCUGUUGUCUUCAAAUGUGCUGGAUGCACCUCCACUUUUCACGUGCUGAACAUUUCUUUCUUCUUCAAUUAAAUGUAGUGUUUCC